UUUGGCGGGGUGAUAACAUAUUGAAUGAAUCAGUUCUCCAUGGAUCACUGAAGUUAAACAAUGUUACGCGUAGUUGACAUUCGGAUGUGUGAACAUUUGGGUAAUCGCGUGCUGCUGGGU
rnacentral:rRNA from 1 species